UACGUAGGAGACGAGCGUUGUCCGGAAUUACUGGGCGUAAAGCGCGCGCAGGCGGCUAUCCAAGUCAGUGGUGAAAGCCCGGAGCUCAACUCCGGAACUGCCAUUGAAACUGUUUAGCUUGAGGACGAGAGAGGUGAGUGGAAUUCCCAGUGUAGAGGUGAAAUUCGUAGAUAUUGGGAAGAACACCGGUGGCGAAGGCGGCUCACUGGCUCGUAUCUGACGCUCAGGCGCGACAGCGUGGGGAUCAAACAGG
rnacentral:rRNA from 1 species